rnacentral:lncRNA from 1 species
UUUUUUUUUUUAGAUAAAUCUAAAAUUCAUCAUAAUUCGAUCCAAUUACAAAUGCACACAAUAUUUAAUUUAUCGUUCAUAACUCUGAUACCAAUUGAUAAAUUUUUUAAGUAUGUAAAAUAAAAAGCAAAUUAAAUACAUACCAAAAUCUUUGUGAUCAAAAUAAAAUAAGAUAACUCACAGAGCGCCAUAGAGAAGAAAUUUCUGAUCAAUCUGCGGAAGCGAGAAUUUCAGCUAUGAUCUGCAAGUCAUGAACCGAACUUGGAUAAUUUGGUUUCUCCUCCUAUCUCAGACACUCUACCGUAAGGUGUGGAGCCGAUAGUAAUUCUUCACCAGAAUGCGUAUGAAAAGGUGACAGGACUAAUACCCCUUUAUAUAGAGUCCAGAUCGAUUUUCCAUCAAAGUCUGAUUAGAAUUCUAUUUAAUUUAAAUAGAUGGGAUAGGGAUAAAAUAUAUCAUAUCAAGUAGUUCUAUAUCUAUUAGGAUUGAUCUUUAUCUAUAGUAAAUCCAAAUUUAAAUAUGAUUAAUUGGGCCACAAUUUAUGGAAAUCCUAACAGGUACCACUAUGCAGUUCUGUGAGAGUUGAAAUUAUAUAGAGCUAGGUUCCUAUGCUUUUGAAAGUACGGAGGCCUCCGUGCUUGUAAGUUGUUUUCGAUGAUGGGACGUCCAAUUCGGCGAUCGGUUUCGUUAGCCAUGAUCUACGCUAUUGGAACUAUCUAGAAACCAAAUUUCAUAAUUUUUUAACUUCGUUUGCCUAGUGAACGAGUAGCCUCAAAAUGAACGGCUGAAAAUAAAAAUCUUAUAAAAAACAGCGAUAAGGGACUCAAAUUUCAAAUCGGAAGUAUU